GUGCCAGCAUCCGCGGUAAUACGUAGGUGGCAAGCGUUGUCCGGAAUUAUUGGGCGUAAAGGGCUCGCAGGCGGUUCCUUAAGUCUGAUGUGAAAGCCCCCGGCUCAACCGGGGAGGGUCAUUGGAAACUGGGGAACUUGAGUGCAGAAGAGGAGAGUGGAAUUCCACGUGUAGCGGUGAAAUGCGUAGAGAUGUGGAGGAACACCAGUGGCGAAGGCGACUCUCUGGUCUGUAACUGACGCUGAGGUGCGAAAGCACGGGGAGCAAAAAGG
rnacentral:rRNA from 1 species